AUUGAACGCUGGCGGCAGGCCUAACACAUGCAAGUCGAACGCAGUUGCGAACGGGUGAGUAACGCGUAGGUAACUGCCUCAUAGCGGGGGAUAACUAUUGGAAACGAUAGCUAAUACCGCAUACUGUGAGAUGGACCUGCGUUGUAUUAGCUAGUUGGUGAGGUAAAGGCUCACCAAGGCGACGAUACAUAGCUGGUCUGAGAGGAUGACCAGCCACACUGGAACUGAGACACGGUCCAGACUCCUACGGGAGGCAGCAGUGGGGAAUCUUCGGCAAUGGACGAAAGUCUGACCGAGCAACGCCGCGUGAGUGAAGAAGGUUUUCGGAUCGUAAAACUCUGUUGUUAGAGAAGCGGUAUCUAACCAGAAAGCCACGGCUAACUACGUGCCAGCCGCCGCGGUAAUAC
rnacentral:rRNA from 1 species